AACAUUCUGCUUUUCCUGUUCUGUGUUUCAGAUUUUUCUACACCACCGCCACACUCAUCAUAGCCUUCACCUCUGCAGGCUCAGCUGUGCUGCUCUUCCUGGCCAUGCCGAUGCUCACCAUUGGGGGAAUCCUGUUUCUCAUCACCAACCUGCAGAUUGGGAACCUAUUUGGCCAACACCGUUCGACCAUCAUCACUCUCUACAAUGGAGCAUUUGACUCUUCCUCGGCAGUCUUCCUUAUUAUCAAGCUUCUUUAUGAAAAAGGCAUCAGCCUCAGGGCCUCCUUCAUCUUCCUCUCUGUCUGCAGUACCUGGCAUGUAGCACGCACUUUCCUCCUGAUGCCCCGGGGGCACAUCCCAUACCCACUGCCCCCCAACUACAGCUAUGGCCUGUGCUCUGGGAAUGGCACCACAAAGGAAGAGAAGGAAACAGCUGAGCAUGAAAACAGGGAGCUACAGUCAAAGGAGUUCCUUUCAGCAAAGGAAGAGACCCCAGGGGCAGGGCAGAAGCAGGAACUCCGCUCCUUCUGGAGCUACGCUUUCUCUCAGCGCUUUGCCUGGCACCUGGUGUGGCUGUCUGUGAUACAGUUGUGGCACUACCUCUUCAUUGGCACUCUCAACUCCUUGCUGACCAACAUGGCUGGUGGGGACAUGGCACGAGUCAGCACCUACACAAAUGCCUUUGCCUUCACUCAGUUCGGAGUGCUGUGUGCCCCCUGGAAUGGCCUGCUCAUGGACCGGCUUAAAGAGAAGUACCAGAAGGAAGCAAGAAAGACAGUCUUUUAAAAUCCGAGGACCACAUUCUUUGUGCUUUCCAAAUCAUCACCUGCCCCAUGCAACUUACAGGGAUAAAGCCAAGAUGAAACUCCCCCUACUUCUGGCUCUUCUAUUUGGGGCAGUUUCUGCUCUUCAUCUGAGGUCCGAGACUUCCACCUUUGAGACCCCUUUGGGUGCUAAGACGCUGCCUGAGGAUGAGGAGACACCAGAGCAGGAGAUGGAGGAGACCCCUUGCCGGGAGCUGGAGGAAGAGGAGGAGUGGGGCUCUGGAAGUGAAGAUGCCUCCAAGGAAGAUGGGGCUGUUGAGUCUAUCUCAGUCCCAGACAUGGUGGACAAAAACCUUACGUGUCCUGAGGAAGAGGACACAGUAAAAGUGGUGGGCAUCCCCGGGUGCCAGACCUGCCGCUACCUCCUGGUGAGAAGUCUUCAGACGUUUAAUCAAGCUUGGUUUACUUGCCGGAGGUGCUACAGGGGCAACCUGGUUUCCAUCCACAACUUCAAUACUAAUUAUCGAAUCCAGUGUUCAGUCAGCGUGCUCAACCAGGGUCAAAUCUGGAUUGGAGGCAGGAUCACAGGCUCGGGUCGCUGCAGACGCUUUCAGUGGGUUGAUGGCAGCCGCUGGAACUUUGCGUACUGGGCUACUCGCCAGCCCUGGUCCCACGGUGGUCACUGCGUGGCCCUGUGUACCCGAGGAGGCCACUGGCGUCGAACCCACUGCCUCAGAAGACUUCCUUUCAUCUGUUCCUACUGAGCUGGUCCCAGGCAGCAGUUCAGAGCUGCCCUCUCCUGGGCAGCUGCCUCCCCUCCUCUGGUUGCCGUCCCUCCCUCCACCUCCCUGCAAUAAAAUGGGUUUUACUGAAA
rnacentral:sRNA from 1 species